UCGGAAUUGUAAUCAAUGAACGGAACUAAACACUUGGUUAUAGGUAUGUGUGGAUGUGGAACUUGCUGUCUGGGAUGCUGGAGCGGUCAUGGGUCGUAAAGCAUGGGAUCGCAAGACGAGUCUAAUAGUUUUGGUUCAUACGGUUUAUGUAACAUUUAACAAAUGAUUUAUGCUUCCGCUGAAUACGAUGAGUUAUGCUUUAUGUAAUGUAAUACUCUACUUUAAUAAAUGAAAGUUUUUAUUUAAAUCA